rnacentral:rRNA from 1 species
UAAAAUGCUGGUUUUGUAAGUCUGAGAUAAUUUUUUAUUAUUGACCUGAUUACUGAUAAGUUUAUUUCUUUAUUUAUUUUUAGGUUUGUGUGCCUUUUGCAUCAUGCUUAGGCGAAAUAGUUAGUGUAUUUCUUUAUACCGAAAACCCUAGAUCUUAUGUCGUGCUGUUAGGUUUAUUAUCGGGUAGAUGUGGAUUAGAUGCGAUGUAUGCUGUGAUAAGUUAGUCGGUGGUGUUUAUAGCUGUUUAAUGGUUUUAAUUUAUAGUUAUGUUGCAGGGCGAUGAAGUCAUGUAAUUUUAUAUACUGGUAUUUUAUGUUAGAUUAAUAGGGUUAAAAGUACCCCUUUGUCUAAAAAGUGUUAAAACUUUUUAUUAAAUUUUAUUUAGUUAUAGGUAUAGACCAUUUAUAGAACAAAUUGUAGAUAUGUAUGCUUAAAUAAGUAAUAUUAGUAUUGGUAUUGUUUCUCAAGUUUUGCCCGUCUGUUUAUUAAAAACAUUUCUAUAAUAUAAAAUUUAUAGUAGUGCCUGCUCUAUGUGUGUAUAAAUGGCCGCAGUAUCUUGACUGUGCGAAGGUAGCAUAAUUAAUUGCCUUAUAAUUGAAGGCUUGUCUGAAUGGUUUGACGAGGUAAAUACAAACAUUAUCAAUGUUGUUGAAAUUAUUAUAGAGGGCACAGAAACCUCUAAAAUUUAAUUAGACGGAAAGACCCCGGGAUCUUUCAUUUUUGUCUGGGGCAGAUAUAAAUUUUUCAUUUUUAUUAUGACCCUUUAAGGUUUGGUGAGUUAAGUUACCCCGGGGAUAACAGUAUAAUAGUUUAUUAGAGACCUUAUCGAUUAAACUGCUUGUUACCUCGAUGUUGACUUAGGCUUUAGGUUUGUGCGCAGUAGUUCAAGCUUUAGGUCUGUUCGACCUUUGUAGCCUCCAUGAGUUGAGUUAAGACCGGCGUGAGCCAGGUCGGUUCUUAUCUAUUGUUCUGGUUUAUUAGUACGAAAGGAUUGUAAGCCUUUUAUUUUGAGUGUGCAGCUUUGUGGCCUUAGUUUUGCAAAAACUAUUGAGAAAUUUAUU